UACGGGGGGGGCAAGCGUUGUUCGGAAUUACUGGGCGUAAAGGGCUCGUAGGUGGCCAACUAAGUCAUACGUGAAAUCCCUCGGCUUAACCGGGGAACUGCGUCUGAUACUGGAUGGCUUGGGGUUGGGAGAGGGAUGCGGAAUUCCAGGUGUAGCGGUGAAAUGCGUAGAUAUCUGGAGGAACACCGGUGGCGAAGGCGGCAUCCUGGACCAAUUCUGACACUGAGGAGCGAAAGCCAGGGGAGCAAACGGG
rnacentral:rRNA from 1 species